UCCGAUAUGGUGUAACGGCUAACAUUACCGCCUUUCAGGUCGAGGGAUUGAACCCCAUGAUCGCGGUAGCUCGGGGUUUCGAUUCCCCGUAUCGGAA